AUACGGAGGGAGCAAGCGUUAUUCGGAAUCACUGGGCGUAAAGGACGCGUAGGCGGGUUUGUAAGUCAGGUGUGAAAUCCUACAGCUCAACUGUAGAACUGCACUUGAAACUACAGACCUAGAGUAUGGAAGGGGCAGAUGGAAUUAGUGGUGUAGGGGUAAAAUCCGUAGAUAUCACUAGGAAUACCGAAAGCGAAGGCGAUCUGCUGAGACAUUACUGACGCUGAGGCGUGAAAGCGUGGGGAGCAAACAGGAUUAGAUACCCCGGUAGUCC
rnacentral:rRNA from 1 species